UAACAAGGAUUCCCCUAGUAACUGCGAGUGAAGCGGGAAGAGCUCAAAUUUGUAAUCUGGCGGUCCCUGGCCGUCCGAGUUGUAAUCUGUAGAGGCGUCGUCCGCGUCGGCCCGUGUACAAGUCUCCUGGAAUGGAGCGUCAUAGAGGGUGAGAAUCCCGUCCAUGACACGGACCACCGAUGCUCUGUGAGGUGCCCUCGAAGAGUCGCGUUGUUUGGGAAUGCAGCGCAAAAUGGGUGGUAAAUUCCAUCUAAGGCUAAAUAUUGGCGAGAGACCGAUAGCGAACAAGUACCGUGAGGGAAAGAUGAAAAGCACUUUGAAAAGAGAGUUAAACAGUACGUGAAAUUGUUGAAAGGGAAACGCUUGAAGUCAGUCGCGUCUGGAGGCACUCAGCCUUGCUUCGGCUUGGUGUACUUGUCUUGGGAUGGGUCAACAUCAAUUUUGGCCGGCAGACAAGGGUGAGGGGAAUGUAGCGUCGUUUCGGUGACGUGUUAUAGCCUUUCAUCGAAUAUGCCGGCUGGGAUUGAGGACCGCAGCACGCCCUUGUGGCCGGAGGUUACGCCUCACGUAACGUGCUUAGGAUGUUGGCAUAAUGGCUUUAAGCGACCCGUCUUGAAACACGGACCAAGGAGUCUAACAUGCUUGCGAGUGUUCGGGUGGAAAACCCUUGCGCAUAAUGAAAGUGAAAGUUGGGAGCCUCCGCAAGGGGGUGCACCGACGCCCGGCCCUGACGUUCUCUGACGGUGCUGCGGUAGAGCAAGUAUGUUGGGACCCGAAAGAUGGUGAACUAUGCCUGAAUAGGGCGAAGCCAGAGGAAACUCUGGUGGAGGCUCGUAGCGAUUCUGACGUGCAAAUCGAUCGUCAAAUUUGGG
rnacentral:rRNA from 1 species